rnacentral:rRNA from 1 species
AAAUUGAAGAGUUUGAUCAUGGCUCAGAUUGAACGCUGGCGGCAGGCCUAACACAUGCAAGUCGAACGGUAACAGGAAACAGCUUGCUGUUUCGCUGACGAGUGGCGGACGGGUGAGUAAUGUCUGGGAAACUGCCUGAUGGAGGGGGAUAACUACUGGAAACGGUAGCUAAUACCGCAUAACGUCGCAAGACCAAAGAGGGGGACCUUCGGGCCUCUUGCCAUCGGAUGUGCCCAGAUGGGAUUAGCUAGUAGGUGGGGUAACGGCUCACCUAGGCGACGAUCCCUAGCUGGUCUGAGAGGAUGACCAG